rnacentral:lncRNA from 1 species
CAGGAUAGUCCUUGUGAGGAGUCACAGGACUGUUUGAGUUGAGCACGAUUCAGAUGAUCUGAUCAAGGUUGACAGUUUAACCCUGAGUCGUCCUAAACACAGGGGUCAAAAGGAUGAAUUAUACAAUAACCAUAUUCAUGUAGGUUCUGAGUGUUACGAUUGUGACUCUUCGACCUAUCCGGAUGUCGGGUACCAUUGCUAGAUGGUCACUUCGAUUAGUACAGAAAUUGGUUCCUGUGC